rnacentral:rRNA from 1 species
GAUGAUCAUGGCUCGGGAGCAUAACACAUGCAAGUCGAGAGAGGGUUUGCUCAGUAUUGAGUAUUGUAAGAAUUGAAUGUUGAAUUGAGAGCAAAUCCAAGUGGCGAACGGGUGAGUAACGCGUGAGUAACCUGCCCUAUACACAUGGAUAACAUACUGAAAAGUUUACUAAUACAUCAUGAGACCUAUGUGUGGCAUCGCAGAGAGAUCAAAGAUUUAUCGGUAUAAGAUGGACUCGCGUCUGAUUAGCUAGUUGGAAAGAUAACUGCCCACCAAGGCGACGAUCAGUAGCCGAUCUGAGAGGAUGAUCGGUCACAUUGGAACUGAGACACGGUCCAAACUCCUACGGGAGGCAGCAGUGGGGAAUAUUGCACAAUGGGGGGAAGCCUGAUGCAGCAACGCCGCGUGAGCGAAGAAAGUUUUUCGAAUCGUAAAAGCUCUGUCCAGGGGGAGAUAAAGACGGGACCCAUAGAGGGAACCCCGGCCAAAUACGUGCCCGCCGCCCCCGUUAAAAGGAGGGGGCCAAGCUUUUUCCGGAAUUAUUGGGGUAAAGGGGGCGUAGGCGUCUUUCAAGUCAGGUGUAAAAGCGUGAGGUCAACCGUAGUAAGCACCGAAACUGGAAGGCUUGAGUGCAGGAGAGGAAAGUGGAAUUCCCAGUGUAGCGGUGAAAUGCGUAGAUAUUGGGAGGAACACCGGUGGCGAAGGCGGCUUUCUGGACUUUUACUGACACUGAGGUACGAAAGCGUGGGUAGCAAACAGG